rnacentral:rRNA from 1 species
AGAGCGAACGCUGGCGGCAGGCUUAACACAUGCAAGUCGAGCGGGCGUAGCAAUACGUCAGCGGCAGACGGGUGAGUAACGCGUGGGAACAUACCUUUUGGUUCGGAACAACACAGGGAAACUUGUGCUAAUACCGGAUAAGCCCUUACGGGGAAAGAUUUAUCGCCGAAAGAUUGGCCCGCGUCUGAUUAGCUAGUUGGUGAGGUAACGGCUCACCAAGGCGACGACGGGUAGCC